rnacentral:SRP_RNA from 1 species
CUGGGUGGUCAGGGCCGAAGUGCAAGCCCUGCAGGGGUUCACCGUGGCCGCGGCGCACCGCGUGGUGG